rnacentral:lncRNA from 1 species
UCAGUACUCUUGUGUUUCCCACCUUUAUCACAACCAAAUAUUAAUUUGUUACUUCUCCCUCUCUUCCCUGUUUCAGUAUCUGAACGACUGAUAAUAACAGUUACUUUAUUAUCGAUUCCAACCUCUUUAAUCCAUCUGAUCACCUCUUCUCGUGUACCAAAUCUUUCAGUCGUUAUAAACGCAUCAGAAGUAUCUACACAUAUUU